GAUGAAGAACGUAGCGAAGUGCGAUAAGUAAUGUGAAUUGCAGAAUUCCGUGAAUCAUCGAAUCUUUGAACGCAAAUUGCGCUUCCUGGCAUCCCGGGAAGUAUGCCUGUUUGAGGGUCAGUGUUAAUAAAAAUCGGUUCGUUGCGAAUUUUUUUGUGACGUUCCGGAGUUUGGGUUAUCUUAACUUUUUUGGUUAAGAGGCUUAAAAUUGACCUUUUUUUUGCGCAUUUUUUAGACGUACAUAAAUUUUUUUUUAUUCGUCUAUUCUUAAUGCCAAAAUCUUAUUAGAUGCGACCAUAUCGUGUGGUUUCGUGUCCAUAAAUUUUUCAUGAUUUGACCUCAAAUCAGGUAAGAGUACCCGCUGAACUUAAGCAUAUCAAUAAGCGGAGGA
rnacentral:misc_RNA from 1 species